rnacentral:rRNA from 1 species
GACGGGGGUGACGAGUGUUACUCAACUUGACUGGGCGUAAAGGGCAACUAGGCGGCUUCCUAGGUGUGGCGUUAAAGGCCGGCCAUUGAAUUCGGUUUUGCGCCGCAUACCGGGAGGCUAGAGUUCGGUAGGGGGCAGCAGUACCCUCGGUGUAGAGGUAAAAUUCGGUGAUAUCGGGGGGACUCGCUACGGCGAAGGCCGCUGCCUGGUCCGCCACUGACGCUGAAAGGCAAAAGCGUGGGGAGCAAACAGG